rnacentral:rRNA from 1 species
GGACACCACUGGAAACGGUGGCUAAUACCGGAUGUGCCGAAAGGACAAGGUUUACUGCCUAAAGAUGAGCUCGCGUCUGAUUAGCUAGUAGGUGGGGUAAAAGCCUACCUAGGCGACGAUCAGUAGCUGGUCUGAGAGGAUGAUCAGCCACACUGGGACUGAGACACGGCCCAGACUCCUACGGGAGGCAGCAGUGGGGAAUUUUCCGCAAUGGGCGAAAGCCUGACGGAGCAAUACCGCGUGAGGGAGGAAGGCUCUUGGGUUGUAAACCUCUUUUCUCAGGGAAGAAAAAAAUGACGGUACCUGAGGAAUAAGCAUCGGCUAACUCCGUGCCAGCAGCCGCGGUAAUACGGAGGAUGCAAGCGUUAUCCGGAAUGAUUGGGCGUAAAGCGUCCGCAGGUGGCUGUGUAAGUCUGCUGUUAAAGAGCAAAGCUCAACUUUGUAAGAGCAGUGGAAACUACACGGCUAGAGUGCGUUCGGGGCAGAGGGAAUUCCUGGUGUAGCGGUGAAAUGCGUAGAGAUCAGGAAGAACACCGGUGGCGAAGGCGCUCUGCUAGGCCGCAACUGACACUGAGGGACGAAAGCUAGGGGAGCGAAUGGGAUUAGAUACCCCCGU